GACAGAGGUGCCAAGCGUUAGGCGGAAUCACUGGGCUUAAAGCGUGUGUAGGCGGAUGCCUAAGUACCUUGUGAAAUCCCACGGCUCAACCGUGGAACUGCUGGGUAUACUGGGUGUCUUGGGUCAUCUAGGGGCUGCCGGAACAAAUGGUGGAGCGGUGGAAUGCGUAGAUAUCAUUUGGAACGCCAACGGCGAAAGCAGGCAGCUGGGGAUGCACCGACGCUGAGACACGAAAGCCAGGGGAGCGAACGGA
rnacentral:rRNA from 1 species